GUUCUUGUAGUUGAAUAACAACAGUGGGUUUUCAUCCCACAGGUUAUGGUUUGAAUCCAUAUAAGAAUU
rnacentral:tRNA from 1 species